GAUGAAGAACGUAGCAAAAUGCGAUAAGUAAUGUGAAUUGCAGAAUUCAGUGAAUCAUCGAAUCUUUGAACGCACAUUGCGCCCGCUGGUAUUCCGGCGGGCAUGCCUGUUCGAGCGUCAUUUCAACCCUCAAGCCCCCGGGUUUGGUGUUGGGGAUCGGCUCUGCCCUUCUGGGCGGUGCCGCCCCCGAAAUACAUUGGCGGUCUCGCUGCAGCCUCCAUUGCGUAGUAGCUAACACCUCGCAACUGGAACGCGGCGCGGCCAUGCCGUAAAACUCCAACUUCUGAAUGUUGACCUCGGAUCAGGUAGGAAUACCCGCUGAACUUAAGCAUAUCAAUAAGCGGAGGA
rnacentral:misc_RNA from 1 species